rnacentral:rRNA from 1 species
CUGCAUGGCUGUCGUCAGCUCGUGUUGUGAAAUGUUGGGUUAAGUCCCGCAACGAGCGCAACCCUUAUCCUUUGUUGCCAGCGGUCCGGCCGGGAACUCAAAGGAGACUGCCAGUGAUAAACUGGAGGAAGGUGGGGAUGACGUCAAGUCAUCAUGGCCCUUACGACCAGGGCUACACACGUGCUACAAUGGCGCAUACAAAGAGAAGCGACCUCGCGAGAGCAAGCAGACCUCAUAAAGUGCGUCGUAGUCCGGAUUGGAGUCUGCAACUCGACUCCAUGAAGUCGGAAUCGCUAGUAAUCGUGGAUCAGAAUGCCACGGUGAAUACGUUCCCGGGCCUUGUACACACCGCCCGUCACACCAUGGGAGUGGGUUGCAAAAGAAGUAGGUAGCUUAACCUUCGGGAGGGCGCUUACCACUUUGUGAUUCAUGACUGGGGUGAAGUCGUAACAAGGUAACCGUAGGGGAACCUGCGGUUGGAUCACCUCCUUACCUUAAAGAA